GCGUUGGACCCCGUGUGGCAUUGUCGCCGUCCCAUCUCCUCAGCAGGGCGCCCGGUUCCCCAGGGGGGGCCGCACAGGCUGCAUCAGUUGCUACAGGCACUGGGUUGAGGGUUCUGUCACAGGGCUGAGGGGUUUUCACUCCAGCAAGUCCCCUUAGGAGCCAGGAUCCUCUUCAGGGGAUGCCAGGGGACUCAUGCCUGGUGUCCUCCAAAGCCCCAGGACAGUCCAGCACCUUGUAUUGUCCCCCCCUGUAACAUUUCAGCAUGUCGGGUGCCAGCAUUUGCCAGGUCUACAAAUUGUGAAACAGAGAAAUAAUAGAGAGAAUAAUAGAGAUAACAGAGAAAAAAUCACAAAUCCUUAUCAGCAUCAUCACAAGAUUUCAUCAUCAGCUUUUGGGGGGCUGCUGGUGUCCCACAAACGAACCUUUUCCAGUGUGUUCUGAAGAAAUUGCAACUCUUGGCACUGUAAAUGUGCACUCACAGACAGUAUAUACUGCAACAUACAUUUGAGUUUGUUACAUAUUGUAAUGUAAGAAGUGAAGGUUUCUCAGACAUCUUCCAGGGAUCUCCUGCCCUCUCCUGCAGUCGUCUUGGGUGGCUUCAAGUGCCCACUCAGGACUUUUCCCUGUGGGAAUUCGCUGCGUUUUACUACAGCUCCUCUGGAAGGAUGUCAAAGGCAAAGAAGAAGCUGGUCCUCAGUAUAUGGUGGAAGCAAACCUGCAUAACCAGAAUGAUAAAAGAGGUUUCCAACAGCCGUGGGUAUGUGAAAUCAGCCUGGCUGCAGCUUCUCUGCUAUUCCCUCCUAAGCAAACAAGGUUAAAAUGAAGUCUGGGAAUGUCUGUCUUUGCUGUACGCUGCAAUGUAAGCCCUAC